GAGACCAAAAUGACACAGUUUUAAACGUGACACGAAACAACGGCGCAGAAACGAUUUUCUUCUCCCUCUGAAAACAGGCGUAGACUGCGUUUCACCGCCUCAGUUGCAGGAUUCAAAACGAAUCCCUAGCUUACUGCAGAUUCCGAUUGAUUGCAAAUAUCGAGAAGAAACAGAGAAACUCAAUUGCAAUUGGGGAAGAAGAACAGCCAAACCCUAAGUAUCGAUCAGUAAAUUCUGUAUCCGUCCACAAUGGGGAAGAAGCAGCACAGCAAAGAUCGAAUGUUCAUAACUAAAACGGAGUGGGCCACAGAAUGGGGCGGCGCCAAAGCCCAGCCCACCUCCACUCCCUUCAAGCGCCUCCCCUUCUAUUGCUGCGCGCUUACGUUUACGCCUUUUGAAGAUCCAGUGUGCACCCCAGACGGCAUUGUUUUUUAUAUACUGAAUAUAAUUCCAUAUAUCAGAAAGUAUGGGAAGCAUCCUGUUACUGGAGUACCGCUGAAGCAGGAGGAGCUCAUACCGCUAACGUUCCACAAGAAUUCUGAUGGAGAGUUUCAGUGUCCUGUUUUGAAUAAAGUUUUCACUGAAUUUACACACAUAGUGGCUGUGAAGACAACAGGAAAUGUCUUCUCCUAUGAGGCAGUUAAAGAACUCAACAUCAAGACCAAGAAUUGGAAGGAGCUCCUCACAGAUGAACCAUUUUCCAAGGAAGACCUGAUAACCAUUCAGAAUCCCAAUGCACUUGACAGCAAGAUCCUUGUGGAGUUCGAUCAUGUUAAAAAUAGUCUGAAAAUUGAUGAUGAAGAUUUUAAGAGAAUGAGUGCGGACCCUACCUAUAAUAUAAAUGUAAAUGGAGAUAUCAAGCAGAUGCUCAAAGAGCUUGGAACUGAAAAAGGAAGGCUAGCUGCACUGCAUGGAGGAGGUGGCAGCAAGGCACAAAAUGAACGUGCUGCUGCACUUGAAGCCAUUUUAGCUGCAAGAUCACGUAUUAAAGAGGAUCCGAAAUCAAAAUCGAAUGGGGAGGUGAAAGCUCAGGCAUAUAGUAUUGUGGAUGCUGCUUCUGCAUCUGUGCAUGGAAGAAGUGCUGCUGCCGCCAGAGCCACAUCUAGUGACAAAACGGCUGCCCGAAUAGCUAUGCACAAGGCUGGUGAAAGGGCACCAGUGAAUGCAAAGAUGGUAAAGAGCAGAUUCACUACUGGCGCAGCUUCGAGGUCUUUCACUUCUACUGCCUUUACUCCUGUUACUGAAAAUGAAUAUGAAUAUGUCAAAGUUGAGAAGAAUCCAAAAAAGAAAGGAUAUGUACAGAUACAUACAACACAUGGUGAUCUGAACAUUGAGCUACACUGUGAUAUAGCCCCCAGAGCUUGCGAGAACUUCAUCACUCUUUGUGAACGUGCCUAUUAUAAAGGAGUAGGUUUUCAUAGAAGCAUUAGGAAUUUUAUGAUUCAAGGUGGUGAUCCUACUGGAACCGGGACAGGAGGGGAAUCUAUAUGGGGAAAGCCUUUUAAUGAUGAAGUGAACUCCAAGUUACUUCACUCUGGAAGGGGUGUUGUCAGCAUGGCUAACAGUGGGCCGCACACUAAUGGCUCCCAAUUUUUCAUCCUUUACAAAUCUGCAAAUCAUUUGAACUACAAGCACACGGUUUUUGGUGGAGUUGUUGGUGGCUUGACCACGUUGGCAGCAAUGGAAAAGGUUCCUGUUGAUGACAAUGACCGACCUUUGUCUAGAUCAUGGGGGUAAGGCUAGCCGACAUUCAUCUCUCCCAGACCCUGUGUAAAGCGGGAGCCUUGUGCACUGGGAGGAAAUUAAGAUAACAAGCGUCACCAUUUUUGUUAACCCUUACACGGAACCUGAUGAAGAAGAAGAAGAAAAGGCCAAAGCUGAGGAGAAAGCUCAGGAUGAAGAUAAUGACAAGGUCGGGUCUUGGUAUAGCAACCCUGGUACGGGGACAGAAUCUGGCCCUGGCGGUGGUGGCGGUGUUGGGAAGUAUUUGAAAGCAAAGAAUGCUCUACCUGAAUCCGCAGCUGUUGAUGCUGGUCUGCAAGAGCUUCCUUCGACAAAGAAAAGAAAAUCAGGAGUUUCCGCGUCAAAUUUUAAUGAUUUUUCUUCAUGGUAGUCGGUAAAUAUCCCAAAUGUUGUAUUCAAUGUAUUGUACCAUAUGUAGAUAAUGUUUUGGAGGAGUGAGUACUCAGAGCAGAGCAUCGUAACCUAAUUUUUUUGAGGUAUACAAAGAGCAGAUCGAACGUCCGAGCAAUAAAAAACAUAGCUUAUGGAUGUU